GACAUUUUCAAACCUAAACUCUUAGUGGGAGAAAGAAGCCCUGAAAUGAAAAGUUGGAUUAACUCCCGAACAAAAACUAAUUAGUAGCAGGAAACCCAAAAGGUACACAAUGGAGUCAAGACAGAACUCGGAAGCCCUUGAGUCCGCUGUGGGCUGUUCAGAAGCCCUUAAGUCUGCUGUGAGCUGUUUGGUGUGGUGGGCGCCCCAUGGAGAGCACUGGAGCUCGCUCCCACCCUCCGCUGACCUCACUUUUGCAGAGACUGGCUUUACCUUGCUAGUCUUUCUCUUGAGAAAUCAGUUCUCCUCUAUGAUCAGCUGUCCGCCCCCGCAGCAGGUGGAUUUGGCCGGGGUGGGGGGUGGGGGUGGAGCAGGUGUGACUUCCUUUUUGGUCAUGAGCUGGAAAGGCAUAGAAACCUGACAGAGUCAGGUUUGGGGUUUAGGACCCCCGAAGGGCAAUAUAGCUCAGGCAUUUUCAUCUGACUCGCAGGCUGUCCAGUUUCCACAAGGAAGCAGUAACUGGGACAGGUUCUCUGCUUCUUUGCUUUGACCCAAGAAAUUACCCUAUGUCUGUUCUUCAAUGGGCACCUUGCUUGUUGGCUUCCAGAAGGGUUUAGCCAUAGGAAGCAUAAGGAGGAGAAGGAAGAGAGGGAAAUGAAAGUCAG
rnacentral:lncRNA from 1 species